rnacentral:rRNA from 1 species
ACAUGCCUACAACAUAGUGUUAAUGCAACAGAUCCCAUUGGAACUCCACAGCUAAGCACACUUGGGCUAGAGUAGUACUAGAAUGGGUGACCGCCCAAGAAUUCCUAGUGUUUUACAUGCC